rnacentral:lncRNA from 1 species
CUGAGGGGCACGCAACAGUGAUCACCCUGGGUCAGCAAGGGGUCAGCUAGAUAUUCUGAUUCUUUGGGGUUGAAUGAUAUUCUGCUGAUCUAAAUGCACUUUGCCUGGAACAAAUGCUGUAACUGGUCUCUGUCCUUCAGUGUUUCCUCCUCCAACAAGCUAUCGUCAACAUGUUGCCACGGAAACUGAGGAUAUACAAGGAAGCACAAGGCCUCUGAGGCCCCGGUUUGGAGUCAAAACACAGCUCCUUUCUCCUUUCACUUUGUCUUAUUGGCUAAACCAGGUGCAAGACUAAUCCCAGAAAGGACACUGGAGGUCCAUGAAAGAGGCACACACUGGAAAAGAUAGAUCCUCCUCUAGGUUCUCACAUCUGUGUCGGUCCAUGGUCAUGUCUGUCACCAAGUGAAGCAAAUGAAAGUGUCCACAGGAAAUGGCCAACACCUUGAACCAGCUCCUGCUCCAGAACCAGUUCAUGAGGACCCAAAAGAGGACUUCAUUUCCUAUGCAGUCAGCUAAAGCUAGAGUUGGAAAGAAGGUCUGUGGGUUGCAAGAAACCCGUGCCCAAUUUUAGAAAGUCAUCACACUUAAAUUAAUCAGACCCCCAAAAACAUUCACCAACCAAGCAUGAGCUGGUCACCCACCAUGUGCCUACCCAGGGAGGACAUCUGGAUCUUCCUGUCUUUGGAGCACAGCUGGCAAAGGCAUGCCAUCACCUCUCUGCCACAGAUGGACCGAAUCAGGGAGGUAGGGCAGAACUGUGGAUGGGUCCUGUGCGGAAACACAACAGGAUGAAGGACGGCCUCUUGUUUCCUACUCUGAGACGCUAGCCAAACCAGGGAACCAUGAGAGAGACUUUCCCAGGCAAAAGGGGUACACUGUGAAGAUCUGUCACUCAUUUUGGUCUAAUAAAGAGCGGAACUGUCAAUAGCCAGGCACAGAGGAUGCUGAGAAGAAGAAGUAGGGAAGAGUCAGGAGGAGACACCAGGGAUGCAGAGCAAGUAUCAUGAGCUUCACAAAAAAGUGCAAAGGAAGACAGCUAAAGCUGGAAUUAGAAAAUGUUCAAAAGAACAAAUGAGGAAAGGCUGGUUCCCAUCAAUGCCGUUGAAUACUGCUCUUCACACGAAGCACAGACACACAGAGAGACAGCCUUCUGGAGACACAGGCUGAAAACGACGAUGGAGUAAAGUAGAAUACACAGUGGAAGGAGGUGUAGUUCAUUUGGUGUGGUGCCUAACUAGCAUCCAGGAGUUCCUGGGGUUGAUCCCUGUGUUACAUAAAGUCAACAUGGUGACACGUGCCUCUAAUACCAAUGUGUACAAGAUGGAAGCAAGAAGAUAAGAAGGUCAACAUCAAUCUCGGUUACAUGAUGAUUUCAAGGAAAGCUUGGGCUAGAUGAGGUCAUGACUUAAAAAAUAAAUAUAAAGUGAAAAUAAAGGGAAGAAGCUGAGUCCCUCAGAGCUAAAGGCAGCUAAGACUUGAGUAUAGGGCUCCCUUCUCCAAGAUGGCCUCCUGUUGAUACAGCAUGG